rnacentral:lncRNA from 1 species
CUAUUAUUGUAUAUUUUUUUAAUCAUUGGAGGUCAAAUGCUCUCUGGCUUCUCUUGCAUCCAAUGCUCCGGGGGAGCGGCAACAAUAUCAUAUCCUUUUUGACCAGACAGCAUCAGAUAGAUGGGCUACACAUACAGAGACAGAGGGGCGCUGUUUCAUUCGCUCGGAUGCCUUCUCUCCGAUGAGAUACAUUCAGCCUCUUGCGAAUUAAAGGAAAAUGAUGAAACACAGAGAGAUGAAAGAUAAAUUAUUUUUUAUUUUUUUAUCAGUACAUUUUUUGGGGAAGCCUGGCUUCCCUUGGCAACCAUGAAUACACAGCUCUAUGAACAUGAGCACAUCUUAGGCCAUAAUAGAUGUUGCUUUUCUACUGCCGUGAUUGAUCGACUAUUAACUACACGAACUUCAACGAAUUGGGAAUAAACGACUGCUUGAAUGUCCUAUUGCCAGAGCCUUCACCUUAAUUAUCGUGUUAGAGGCUUCCUUGAAAGAGGUGGUUUCAUCCCCACAAUGUCAGAACAGUAGUCGUUCAAGGCAGAGACAGACGCAACCCCUGCUACUUGGGCAUGGGCCACGGCAAUCAAAGUUUCAUUCCCUGCUCGAGGCGUGUUAAUUAUGCGAGGUCGCGAGGAUCACAGCGGGCGGGUAAUUACCAAAAUGGAUGUGAAGCUUGUAGUUUAGGCAGAGGAUGAGUCAAACACACAGACUCCUUCUCACACAGUUUACACUGUUAUUAAGCGGCCCCUCCAGACCCUCUCUGUUCACCUCUGUCUCUCGCCCCUCUUCGUCUCCCUGGAGUCACAGUCACUUCAAAGCUGUAGUCGUGCUUGAUGACUUGGGAAUCAUGGGGCUGAGCAGCCUUACUAACCGCUGCCUCACAGCAUGAGAAUAUGAUCAGAGUUGUAUUGUCAUUAGUUUAACAUUCGCCUUAAAAUCAAGUGUCAACUUCCUCCACCCAGGACAUACAGCAAAUCAAACACACCUUUAAAAGAACAAUCCAGGACAUACAGCAAAUCAAACACACCUUUAAAAGAACAAUCCAGGACAUACAGCAAAUCAAACACACCUUUAAAAGAACAAUCCAGGACAUACAGCAAAUCAAACACACCUUCAAAAGCACAAUCCACAAAUCCACCAUCUGCUAUUGAUUAAAUACAGGCCCCAAUACCUCCAAAGGUAAUUGCUCAUUAACAGCAAUAACUUCUGUAACAAUAUGACAGCUCAGAGAUGAGAAAUUGCAGAUUGAUAAUCACUUGUCUGUACACCAGCUUGUGAAACACAUAGUAGUCUUUUACACAUGUAAAUAUGUUGUGUAUGGUUUGUGAUUUUCAGGCACACGCAACAAUUCAGCAAAACUACAAACAUUUCCCCUGAUUACUCUCCUAGUUGGCUGGAAGAUAUGUGGUAGGAAUAUUGAUCUUGUAUAGGGACCAAAUGGCCGCGCCUGAGAGGGAAGCCAAGACCAUACACAACAGAAUAUUUUCAGUGAUGCAAAUGACUCCGACCCCGUUCCAGCCAGCACCCAGACAGCAACAUGGCGACAAAGGACACUUUUGUUCUCUUCCAAAUUCUUGUGCAUCAUUUUCUGCAAAUGACUGAAUCUCCUCAUCCCUCGCCUCUCAUUCCACUCAAUUAGCAUGUUUGCGUCUUACCCCCCUCACUCAGGGAUGGAUAAAAAUGUCCAAAUGUUAUCACAUAAUACACACCCACUAUGUUAUGUGGCACUGAGAUGACGCAGAGAGAUGGAGAGAGUGGUGACAGGAGGUAAAGAAUAGGUGAUUGGUUUUGCUCCAGGAGACAGGGGGGAAUGGUUAGGAGGGACACAAGGCUCCAUUGAACGCUUUCUCACUUACUCCUCAUGCGUCUCCCCCAGUUCUCUUCCAUCUCCUCCUUUCUCCCACAGCUGCAGCAGUCCUCAUGCUUUUGUAUUAGAGGAGGGGAGGGAGAGCAUAGUGACAGAGAGAGGGAGUGAGACUGAAAAGAAAGAGCGAGCGAGAGAUGUGGAAUGGGACAGCGGCCGUGGAGUGAACUGAAAUUCAAGGAAUAAAGAAAGUAACAAUUAAUAUCAAGUCUGUUGUUUGUAAAUAUGUGUAUAAAGAUGUCAGAAUUUAGAUACGAUGUCAUUGUUUUAGCACUACCCACUGAGUUUGGAAACUACGGCACGUGACAUGGUUCAAUGUGCCAAUAAAUCAGCACAAUCAACCUUUUUCGGUUUUUCAAAUUGCUGGGAUCUUGAAGCUAAAAUUGCGAUCAUGUAUACGGUGGUAAUUACCAAAAAUUGUAGUGGAGAGCAAUGAACAAUACGUUGAAUUGUACGGCGAACUUAGCAAAACAAGGAAUUUGUGGUAAGUGCGUGGGGGCCACCAUCUUUAUGCACCUCUGCUGUUGAUCAAUCUUUGCCCAAUUACACCUGUUUCAUGGUAAAUACUGGGACUUUCAAAGGGUGCCUGAUUUUUGGAGGAGGUCAAUGUGGUGGAAAACAAUGGCUCCAUUCAUACUGAUAUAUGGAAAGUCUUUAUUGAUAACAAAUCAUCUCAGCAUGAUUGUACUUGGCUCAUUCUGAAUCCAUUGUCACUUCAUGGUCAUUAUUGCCUACAAUUGACCCUUGGUCUGGCAAGACCGACUUUACAUCAAUAUAUAGAUAAUAAAAGACUGACUUUACAUCAAUAUAUAGAUAAUAAAAGACUGACUUUACAUCCAUAUAUAGAAAAUAAAAGACUGACUUUACAUCCAUAUAUAGAUAAUAAAAGACUGACUUUACAUCCAUAUAUAGAUAAUAAAAGACUG